AAGAAAAACCCUUAUGCAGCAAAAUUCUCAAAUCCACAUCCAGAAAUCUUCCAUCUUCGAAGAGAAUUUGCUCUCCAAUCCAAACCUCCGCGAUUUGGCGCUACUGCCUAUGAGAAGCUGUGAUUUUGCAUUGUCGAUUUUCACUUUAAAUGGUUUAUCUCCUUUGUGAAAGAUCUCCGUCGCAAUGUCGACGAUUUUGGCGUUCUGAACUUGCUCCCCCGCUCAGCUCGCCACUUCCUCAACCAUGAGCAGGCAGUGGUAUACGAAGUCUUUAUAACUUAUAACGACUCAUGACUUCAUGUGUGUGCUUUCUUAACUGGCUUGGAUUUGCUAGACAAGUGUGGAGCUAGCAGGAGCGUAUUUUUCUACAACCUAAUCAGAAUUCUAUAUUCUACAAUUCUCAUGCGAGCUGGAUUAUGAGUUACCAACAAGAGAAGAUUGUCAGGGUAGAGAGGAAUGCAAAUUGUAUAAUCUAUUUGAUGGGAAUAAGGAGUUACCUCCUUGUUGUGGUCGGGCUUCAAGUUUCUCACAUCAGUGACCUCAGGAAGCAGUUCAAUCUUAUGCCUCACUGCCUUUGUGCCUCAUGUGAUAUGCCUCUCAUUUCAUUUCAUAUUAUGUCUGCUGAAAAUUGAUUUAGAUGAUUGAGUAAUUGAGUUUUUGUAUUCAUUGUGCAAUCACUUCUGGGAGGAAUGAUGGUAAUAUUAAUAGUUUAAUACUAGGCUGGUAAAGUACCAACUAAAACUUAAAUUUUAGUCUGGAUUAACUCUGAGGUUUGCAAGAUUCAGCCAUUUUUUCAGACUGAGAUAAGUUACAUUGAAGGAUUAGUCCUGUUGUGAAAAAGGGGCUGGCUUAUAAUAAAAGUCUUGAUGUGGGAUCUUGUUCUCUUGAAUUCAAGAAUUUUUUUAGUUUAUGUUGUUGUUUCUACAAUUUACUGCUUCUAUUUAGUUGAAACGGUCUCACUGAUAUUUCUGAUUCCUUCUAUGUUUUACUAAUAAUACACCCUUUUGACUCACUAUUUAAUAAUGUAACUGCAAUUCUUUUCACAGGUAUAAUGGAGUUGAAGGUCUUCAUAUUAAAGUUACAUAGUUUGCCUCGUCUGUGGUCCUGGUGUUCUAGUCGAGUUGGAGAAGUCUGUUACUUCAAAAAAGUUCAUCUAUCAACUAGAAGAUCACCCUCGUCUGCUCCUGACUAGAUGGAGCGUCUCAUACAGGGGGAAAAGGUUAUACACGCAAGCGUCUCCUGAAUUAGAAAAGGACACUCGAUCUAACCUAGAUGUCCCUCUAUUCGAUCUUAUGAAUGGAGUAUCCAGGGAUAUUAUAAUGUUAAUGGCAUGGCAGGUAUGGGAGAAGCAAUCUUCUAUGAGGAAACUACGUAUUGCAUUCAAGGGGGUUGAUGGAAUUGCAGAUAUUGAUAUGGCUGGUGGGGCAUAACCUCUCACCAUCUCAAGAGGUAUUGAAAUUGUUCAUCCAUUUGCAUAGUAGCGUUCCUUUUUGAUCUCAUCAUUUGUGUCAGUAUAUGAAGAAUUCAUGAAACGUAGGAUUCUGAUCGCUUAGCAUCCUCUCAAUUUUCUUAUGUUAGGGAACUUACUUCAUCAACUGACACAUCAAUGAAAUUGAGAUUUUGCUUUGAGUUUUG